rnacentral:rRNA from 1 species
CGUUUGAUCCUGGCUCAGAACGAACGCUGGCGGCAGGCCUAACACAUGCAAGUCGAACGCUGCAGCAAUGCAGAGUGGCAGACGGGUGAGUAACGCGUGGGAACCUUCCCAGUGGUACGGAAUAGCUCAGGGAAACUUGAGGUAAUACCGGAUAAGCCCUUACGGGGAAAGAUUUAUCGCCGAAAGAUCGGCCCGCGUCUGAUUAGCUAGUUGGUGAGGUAAUGGCUCACCAAGGCGACGAUCAGUAGCUGGUCUGAGAGGAUGAUCAGCCACAUUGGGACUGAGACACGGCCCAAACUCCUACGGGAGGCAGCAGUGGGGAAUAUUGCGCAAUGGGCGGAAGCCUGACGCAGCGACGCCGCGUGCGGGAUGAAGGCCUUCGGGUUGUAAACCGCUUUCACCAGGGACGAAGCUAACGUGACGGUACCUGGGGAAGAAGCGCCGGCUAACUACGUGCCAGCAGCCGCGGUAAUA